CAACUUAUUGAAGAGCAUUGAGAUAACUGGC
rnacentral:piRNA from 1 species